AAGCGUUAUCCGGGAAUUAUUGGGGCGUAAAGCGGCGCGUAGGCGGGUUUUUUAAGUCUGAUGUGAAAGCCCACGGGCUCAACCCGUGGAGGGUCAUUGGAAACUGGAAAACUUGAGUGCAGAAGAGGAAAGUGGAAUUCCAUGUGUAGCGGUGAAAUGCGCAGAGAUAUGGAGGAACACCAGUGGCGAAGGCGACUUUCUGGUCUGUAACUGACGCUGAUGUGCGAAAGCGUGGGGAUCAAACAGGAUUAGAUACCCUGGUAGUCCACGCCGUAAACGAUGAGUGCUAAGUGUUAAGGGGGUUUCCGCCCCUUAGUGCUGCAGCUAACGCAUUAAGCACUCCGCCUGGGGGAGUACGACCGCCAAGGUUGAAACUCAAAAGGAAUUGACGGGGGACCCGCACAAGCGGUGGAAGCAUGUGGUUUUAAUUCGAAGCAACCGCGAAGAACCUUACCAAAUCUUGACAUCCUCUGACCCCUCUAAGAGAUAAGAGUUUUCCCCUUUCGGGGGGACAAGAGUGACAAGGUGGGUGCCAUGGGUUGUCGUCCAGCUCCGUGUCCGUGAGAUGUUGGGUUAAGUCCCGCAACGAGCGCAACCCUUAAGCUUAGUUGCCAUCAUUAAGUUGGGCACUCUAAGUUGACUGCCGGUGACAAACCGGAGGAAGGUGGGGAUGACGUCAAAUCAUCAUGCCCCUUAUGAUUUGGGCUACACACGUGCUACAAUGGACAAUACAAAGGGCAGCGAAACCGCGAGGUCAAGCAAAUCCCAUAAAGUUGUUCUCAGUUCGGAUUGUAGUCUGCAACUCGACUAUAUGAAGCUGGAAUCGCUAGUAAUCGUAGAUCAGCA
rnacentral:rRNA from 1 species